CGGGGAGGACGAUCCAUAGCACUGGGCACUGAAAUUACAUGAGCCGAUAUGCUUUUAGUGGGCUUAGAAACCCCACGCAACUGACCCC
rnacentral:snoRNA from 1 species